CAGGACGAACGCUGGCGGCGUGCCUAACACAUGCAAGUCGAGCGAGGAGAUUCCUUCGGGAUGAUCCUAGCGGCGGACGGGUGAGUAACACGUGGGCAACCUGCCUCAUAGAGAGGAAUAGCCUUCCGAAAGGGAGAUUAAUACCUCAUAACAUUGCAGUUUCGCAUGGAACAGCAAUUAAAGGAGUAAUCCGCUAUGAGAUGGGCCCGCGGCGCAUUAGCUAGUUGGUGAGGUAACGGCUCACCAAGGCGACGAUGCGUAGCCGACCUGAGAGGGUGAUCGGCCACAUUGGGACUGAGACACGGCCCAGACUCCUACGGGAGGCAGCAGUGGGGAAUAUUGCACAAUGGGGGAAACCCUGAUGCAGCAACGCCGCGUGAGUGAUGACGGCCUUCGGGUUGUAAAGCUCUGUCUUCAGGGACGAUAAUGACGGUACCUGAGGAGGAAGCCACGGCUAACUACGUGCCAGCCGCCGC
rnacentral:rRNA from 1 species